GUAUUUUAAAGAUUAUGCAAUCUCUACUUUAGUUUUCCCAGAGAACUUUACUUCCUUCCACAAAGAAUCACAAAUUAGGUACAAAAUUAUGAUUUCUGUGUUUUUUUUUUUUUUUUCAGAGCCUGGCCAUAGUAGUGGGAAAGAAGAUGGAUAAAGUUCUUGUUAAUCUAUUGAUGAAAGAAUGAUGCUAAGUUUUUCAAGGCUUCCAGAGUCACGGGAGGAGUCACUUGGUAAAUCCAGGAGCAGAAGCGAGGUACCAGCUGGAAGACUGCAAUGUGUUUGUUCAGACCUGUGGGCCCCCUGGAUCCUUAGCAAAAGACCACAAAGACAAGUGUUGAAUGCAGCUUUUACAAGUUAAGUGACCAGCCUAAGGCACUGUCACAUCUUUGACCAAAAGGGAUGAAAAUAUCAAAUGUUACACCUGGAAGUAACCUUCGGGUAUCCAGGGGAAUAACUUCACUGUGUAAAUAAAGAGCCACAGCGGUCCACUGACUACUUCUCACAGCUGGUGAGUGAAUAUUCUCCAGGAUCCUGUCAUUCUCGGCUCAUCUUGCCCAUCCCAAAUCAUUCACUAGAAGUGGCAGGGGCGAGUAGUAGAUAGAAUAGGUUGUAAGAAAAUGUUAAGACCAUGAUGAAAAGACAUUAGAAGAAGCAGUGAAAAAGCAAAAAUGUGUGACACUUAGAGCAGGUGAAGGGUGCUGCCUUUUUUAUGUGCUUACCCCAUCAAGCCAGCAGAGCUGUCUCUCCCCCAGGGAUAGGACCUGGCUACAUGUUUGUCCUGUGUUCUUUCUAGCUCUAUGGACUCUCUGGUUAUUUAAAGGCACAUUGUCUCUCCAUCUCUGUCUGUUUCUCUGUGAGAUUAUUUUCACUUUGACCAUUGCCCUCAUGUAUUUACCCCCAGCAUAAUGACAACAGAUUGAGAGUUAAAAAUAAAUCCCUUGAUUCCAAUCUAUAGAAAAAAAAGCAUUUAAAUUUAAGGAUGGGUCAAAAAGAGAGAAUGAUUAUCCCAAGCAUUUUUUAAAAUUAACAUUUUAGGUAUUUUACCAGUCACCAUUCCUUUAACUCAACUGUAGUUUCAGCUGAGGAGGUUAAUGAAACAGUUAGAUGGGUAUAUCCUGAUCUAUUUAUUUUUCCUUUUUGUUUUUUGUAGAAUUGAUGGGGUCGUGGAAUAUUAGGGCAGUGAAGAAGCCAUGGGAGAAACUUCCACAUUUGGUAAGGCAAGUAAAAUUUUGUUAGGGCUUUCGAAACUGCUUUCGAAAACUUGAGAACUUGCUUAGUGGCUUUGUGACUCAUGGUAUAUAUCAAUUAUUAAAAAGCUGUCAGUGAAUGGGAUGAGAAGUUGUUUUUGAAAUACAGUCAGAUGCACUGUAAAAACUAGCAAUUCUAAACCUACUGCAAAAUAAAUUGCUCAAAAGAACUGUCAUUCCAGUUCUUUUGGAAUGUUCCUCUUACCAGUCAGGAUAGGAGGAUAAUGUUCCUCUUAUCAGUCAGCCAAGAUUAAUGGUAGGUUCAAAAGGUCCUCAGAUUGUUACUUUGUCCAUCCAUCCACCUGAUGGCUCUCUUGUGUGGGAUUUUAUACUAGGUAGUAUGUGAAAGUAUUCUAGGCACCCUAGAGCAACAGCUUGCUCACAGUUUUCCUCUCUUCUGACAGAUCCUAAGUCCUUGAUGCCUUUUCAAUAAAAUAUGCUACAGAGAACAUAAGGACUAAACAUGUUCCUGACAAAGCAGAGUAAAAUACAUUUACGUUAUUAAGGCUCAACUAUGUCUGAAUGUUUAGUGCUAUAUGUUUUAAAUUGUUUUGUUUCAGUGAAAACACACUAAUAAAUUUCCUUUAUAAAAGUUCAAAUAUUCCAGACAAAGCAAAAGUACCUUUUCUUUUCUUUUUUUUUUUUUUUUUGUGACGAAGUUUCACUCUUGUUACCCAGGCUGGAGUGCAAUGGCGCAAUCUCGGCUCACCGCAACCUCUGCCUCCUGGGUUCAGGCAAUUCUGCCUCAGCCUCCUGAGUAGCUGGGAUUACAGGCAUGCGCCACCAUACCCAGCUAAUUUUUUGUAUUUUUAGUAGAGACGGGGUUUCACCAUGUUGACCAGGAUGGUCUCGAUCUCUUGACCUCGUGAUCCACCCUCCUCGGCCUCCCAAAGUGCUGGGAUUACAGGCGUGAGCCACCGCGCCAGGCCAAAAGUACCUUUUCUAAGCAGGGUGUUUGAUGUGUGUCCUUCCAGACUGAAAUAUAUAUAUAUUUUAUUUAUACACACACACAC
ensembl:lncRNA